rnacentral:tRNA from 6 species
UGGGAUUUUCGUAGGCUAGCCAUUAGGGUUCUUAUAGUUGAAUACAACGGUGGUUUUUCAAGUCAUUG